UACUCCCCCCCCCCCCCAAAAGAAUGAAUGCUUUUCCCAUCAUUUGCAUCCUCUUCUUAUCCUUCAUCCUUCCCUUUUCUAUAACUCAAGAAGUUCAUCAUGUGGAACAAAGCGGGCGUUAUAGGGGUAUUCCUCCGAGAAGACCAGGGCCACAACAUCCGACUAGAUUUGCAUCAUGCUUUCAUAACGGAAGCCCUGUGGAAUGCUACAGAUCCCCACCACCACCGUCCACGAUGGCAACGGCAGUGACAAGGAAGACUAUUAUUAUUGUCGGACGACGCAAAUGCCCUUGCCAUCAGCAUCAUUGAAGCUUUAUUAUUUCUGCCUAGUUUUAUUGUGUGUUACUACUGUGUUCACUAAUGAUCCCUAAUAGGGUGGGAUUGAGGUGUGUGUUUGGAGAGUGCUUUUAUUUCAUGUUUUUUGUAAUGUUUUUAGUAUAUGUAUAAUUAAUGGGAUUGAGGUGUGUGUUUGGAGAGUGCUUUUAUGUCAGUUUUUUUUUAUGUUUUAGUAUAUGUAUAAUUAUUUAAUUAUAGUUUUGGUUACUUUUCUUCUA